CCUACGGGAGGCAGCAGUGGGGAAUCUUGGACAAUGGGCGCAAGCCUGAUCCAGCCAUGCCGCGUGGGCGAUGAAGGUCUUCGGAUUGUAAAGCCCUUUUGGCGGGGACGAUAAUGACGGUACCCGCAGAAUAAGCUCCGGCUAACUUCGUGCCAGCAGCCGCGGUAAUACGAAGGGGGCUAGCGUUGUUCGGAAUUACUGGGCGUAAAGCGUGCGCAGGCGGCUUUUCAAGUCAGAGGUGAAAGCCCCGGGCUCAACCCGGGAAUGGCCUUUGAGACUGGAAGGCUCGAGUGCGAGAGAGGUGAGUGGAAUUCCCAGUGUAGAGGUGAAAUUCGUAGAUAUUGGGAAGAACACCCGUGGCGAAGGCGGCUCACUGGCUCGCAACUGACGCUCAGGCACGACAGCGUGGGGAGCAAACAGGAUUAGAUACCCUAGUAGUC
rnacentral:rRNA from 1 species